CCAGACUCCUACGGGAGGCAGCAGUGGGGAAUAUUGGGCAAUGGGCGCAAGCCUGACCCAGCAACGCCGCGUGAAGGAAGAAGGCUCUCGGGUUGUAAACUUCUUUUAUCAGGGACGAAGCGAGUGACGGUACCUGAUGAAUAAGCCACGGCUAACUACGUGCCAGCAGCCGCGGUAAUACGUAGGUGGCAAGCGUUAUCCGGAUUUACUGGGUGUAAAGGGCGUGUAGGCGGGAAAGCAAGUCAGAUGUGAAAACCAUGGGCUCAACCUGUGGCCUGCAUUUGAAACUGUUUUUCUUGAGUACUGGAGAGGCAGACGGAAUUCCUAGUGUAGCGGUGAAAUCCGUAGAUAUCUGGAGGAACAUCAGUGGCGAAGGCGACUAUCUGGCACAUAACUGACGCUGAGGAGCGAAAGCGUGGGUAGCAAACAGGAUUAGAUACCCCUGUA
rnacentral:rRNA from 1 species